rnacentral:rRNA from 1 species
ACCAGACUCCUACGGGAGGCAGCAGUGGGGAAUAUUGCACAAUGGGGGGAACCCUGAUGCAGCGACGCCGCGUGAGUGAAGAAGUAUUUCGGUAUGUAAAGCUCUAUCAGCAGGGAAGAAAAUGACGGUACCUGACUAAGAAGCCCCGGCUAACUACGUGCCAGCAGCCGCGGUAAUACGUAGGGGGCAAGCGUUAUCCGGAUUUACUGGGUGUAAAGGGAGCGUAGACGGCGAUACAAGUCUGAAGUGAAAGCCCGGGGCUCAACCCCGGGACUGCUUUGGAAACUGUGUUGCUGGAGUGCUGGAGAGGCAAGCGGAAUUCCUAGUGUAGCGGUGAAAUGCGUAGAUAUUAGGAGGAACACCAGUGGCGAAGGCGGCCUGCUGGACGAUGACUGACGUUGAGGCUCGAAAGCGUGGGGAGCAAACAGGAUUAGAUACCCCCGUA